rnacentral:rRNA from 1 species
GGGCCCGCACAAGCGGUGGAGCAUGUGGUUUAAUUCGAUGAUACGCGAGGAACCUUACCAGGACUUAAAUGUAAGUUGCAUGAUUCAGAAAUGAAUCUUUCUUCGGACAUUUUUCAAGGUGCUGCAUGGUUGUCGUCAGCUCGUGCCGUGAGGUGUCAGGUUAAGUCCUAUAACGAGCGCAACCCCUACCGUUAGUUGCCAGCGUGUAAUGACGGGGACUCUAACGGAACUGCCGGUGCAAACCGUGAGGAAGGUGGGGACGACGUCAAAUCAUCACGGCCCUUACGUCCUGGGCCACACACGUGCUACAAUGGUCGGUACAGAGAGCAGCCACUACGCGAGUAGGAGCGAAUCUUCAAAACCGAUCUCAGUUCGGAUCGCAGUCUGCAACUCGACUGCGUGAAGCUGGAAUC